rnacentral:tRNA from 5 species
GCCCCCAUCGUCUAGAGGCCUAGGACACCGCCCUUUCAAGGCGGCGGCACGGGUUCGAAUCCCGUUGGGGGCA